UAUUAUUUUUAGCGGUUCUCGACAGCAUCAUCAUACAGUCGAUUACGAGCCCUAGAGUUCUUCUACUAAUCCUUGCGUUUGGCAAAUUUUAUAAUGUAUUUUUUAGUAAAUUUUAUAAAAUAUAGCAGAACGUUGUUUUUUAAAUGUAACAAAGAAUGCUGUUCUUUAAAUGUAACAAAGAGUUAAAAGUAAAAAAUGUGUUUGCAUAAUUGUUAUUCGCAAACCUAUCACGAUCCUAACGGGCACAAGACGCGUUUUAGACGUCUAAAAAAUGUAUUAAACGUAUUAGUUUGCUUAUUAUAUGUUUAAAAUACGUCAUGUGCUUACACUGGGAUUGCUGCAAAACUAUGUUAAACUUUUUCUUAGUAAAACAAAUGUUGAUUAAACUCGUAUUUAAUAAUAAACUUUGUAUUGGUAAAUAUAGCAAUAUAGCCAUUGUUGUAUACAGCUAUAUUGGAUAUAUAGCUGUAUACAACAAUUUAUAUAGAACGGACAUCUUCUGGCGUAAAUAGUUAACGACGUUUUUUUAUUCUAAGACUUGAAAAAGAGUUAGAUAAGAGUGCUGAUAGUUAGGUUCUUAUUUCUACAACAGUUAAAAAUUUAAAGUUCGCUCACCAGGCAACAUUAACUCUAGCUAUGACAUUUUACAAUAAGGAAGACUAACCAUGGAACAUAAACGAAAAAAGUUAUCAGGUUUCGCCAACCGUAAAUUAAAUAAAGAGAAAGAAGCGAGGCAAAAAGCUUUUCUGGAAAAAAUUCCUGCAUUAAAAAAUUUCUUUAAAAAAGGCAAAACACUUUCUAUGAGUGUUACACAAGGUGAGCAACACAAAGAAGGAAAAGAAAAAAUCAACAACAGUAUGACAAUAAUGCCCAGCAAUCAAACGUGAAAGAAAAAGAAGAGGACCAGACACAACAACAAGAAGACCAGGCGCAACAAAACCUGCAACAGCCACAGCCAGAAGAUCAAGAAAGAGAAUAUUUAGGUGAAGAUGAACUUAAUAAAAUGUUGAGUGUUAAUUAUGCUGGUCCUGCAUUAUGGGGAAGAUUAAGCGAAGAUGAAAUUAUAGAUGUAAUGAAGAACAUAUCUAACGUAGAGGUAGAUAUUCAAAAACUAGACUUUACUGCAUCUAAAGUAUUCUAUAAAUCACAGAGCAGGUAUGCUACAAAAAUAAUAUUUUAUAGACAUUUACUAAACGGAAAACAACAAAAAAGAAACUGGCUUUUGUAAUCAAAUACUUCAGGAAAUGUUUAUUGCAUCCCUUGCAAACUAUUUGAUAGUGUCAAUAAUCCAUUUACUGCAGGCUUCAACAAUGAACAUUCGGACUAUGAAAAUUCAGCCCUUCAUAAAGAAAACACAUGUAUACUUGUGAACAGAUCUACAGAAAAAUGGAAAUAUUUCAAAAAUUAUUCUAUUAUAUCAAUAAAAAAAAAUACGAAUUA